GGGCUGAGUAGCACAAGUGGUUGACUCAAAGAAAGGAAGUUUAUGACUUUUACUAAUUUGGCAAGAAUUAUAAGGCAAAUCAAAACCAGUUUUAUUAAUAGGCAAAUUAUUUGAAAAUAAAAUCUGAUUAACAAUUCGAGCAUUAGCAUGGGCAAGCCGAUCAUGACAGACACUGAAUUGCACAAGAUGAGCCUGCGGAGAUGACAAAGGGCUGGUUUGAAGAGGUAGCUAGUGGAGACCAUUUUCACUCUGACUUUGGUAAAGAACAAUUGCCAAUUGUUAUGGUAUCUGGACCGGUAUGAGAAUGAGGGUGACCGAUGUUCCCUUCAUCAGCUGUGAUCUGAAAGUUUGCACCGGAGUCAACAGUCCAAGCUUGAGUAGGAUGAGAUGUGUUGGAGACAAAAUGAGACUCAGGGUUGAGUGGUGGUAUAGUAGAAGACAUUGUAGCUUUAA
rnacentral:misc_RNA from 1 species